UUAACUGGAGGCAGGGUUUUAUCCAUCCCUUCCUGUUACUGAUUUAAGGCUCUGCUCACAAUUAACUGCAGUUAACAGGCACGGGUUGAUAAACCUCUGCAUCCAGUUUGG
rnacentral:pre_miRNA from 1 species